rnacentral:rRNA from 1 species
UACGUAGGGCGCAAGCGUUGUCCGGAAUUAUUGGGCGUAAAGAGCUCGUAGGCGGUUUGUCGCGUCUGCUGUGAAAAUCCAGGGCUUAACCCUGGACCUGCAGUGGGUACGGGCAGACUAGAGUGCGGUAGGGGAGAUCGGAAUUCCUGGUGUAGCGGUGAAAUGCGUAGAUAUCGUAAGGAAGACCAGUGGCGAAGGCGGGUCUCUGGACAGUUCCUGACGCUGAGGAGCGAAAGCGUGGGGAGCGAACAGG